rnacentral:rRNA from 1 species
GGGGAAUAUUGGACAAUGGGCGCAAGCCUGAUCCAGCCAUACCGCGUGGGUGAAGGAGGCAUUCGGGUUGUAAAGCCUUUUUGUUGGGAAAGAGAAGCAAUCGAUUAAUACUCGGUUGUUCUGACGGUACCCAAAGAAUAAGCACCGGCUAACUUCGUGCCAGCAGCCGCGGUAAUACGAAGGGUGCAAGCGUUACUCGGAAUUACUGGGCGUAAAGCGUGCGUAGGUGGUUGUUUAAGUCUGUUGUGAAAGCCCUGGGCUCAACCUGGGAAUUGCAGUGGAUACUGGGCAACUAGAGUGUGGUAGAGGGUAGUGGAAUUCCCGGUGUAGCAGUGAAAUGCGUAGAGAUCGGGAGGAACAUCCAUGGCGAAGGCAGCUACCUGGACCAACACUGACACUGAGGCACGAAAGCGUGGGGAGCAAACA